rnacentral:lncRNA from 10 species
AAAAAAGAAAGAAAGAAAUCCCAUGGAAAGUGAUGUCUAGUUCUUGUUGACACUUGUCAGUUUAUACCUUUAUUCUAGUAUUGUUAUUUAUCUACACAGAGUUCUUAAUACCAGAUGGUGAACUCCUGAAUGAGGAUCUGGGCCUGUCUGUUUGGUUUCAUUUUUAUUAUUGUUUGUUACCCUAAGCAUUAAGUGCAGUGCACGUAAGCAGAAGGUACUCAGAGCGAGUUUGCUAAAUGAAAGGUUAGUAUGGUGUAAGGGGAAACGCCUACUGUGUCGGAACCCAGAGAGGCAAUAUUUUGCUUGGUUUGUGGUGAAAAACCUAAUGGUGAUUGAGUCUUCAAUCUGCCUCACGGGCUGGGCAAGUCACUUCUGUACAUUUUAUACACACACAUAAUUCUCACAGUAAUCUUUGAGGAACAUGCUAUUAACCCUGUCUUACUUUCAAUGCAACUGAGUCACAGAAGGGUUAAGAAAGUUUUCCGAGAUCACACAGGUUACUCACAGCUAGUGAGUGAUCGAGUCAAGAUCUGACUGUGGGCUUAGCUGGCCAGGCCUAUGGCCUUUCUGCUGUGCUGCCACACUCCCUCUCCUCAUCUCCUUCCAUUGUACAGAUUCUUCUGGAGCUUUCUGGGAUGUUAGCUACCUUGAGAGCACUCAUACAUACGUCCUGUGUAUUCCAUAAAGUGGGAACUGUGGAAAUAUUCAGGCUCAACCCUAAUACUUGCGGGGCGAUUUGUUGAGAGUAAAAAUGGAGGUCCAAGUACCAUGUGUCUCAUCUGUGUAUAUCAAGUGGCAAAGGUUUUGUUGUUGUUGUUUGUUUGUUUUGUUUUGUUUUGUGAGACGGAGUUUCACUCUUGCAUGAUCUCAGCUCACUGCAACCUCCACCUCCUGGGUCCGAUUCUCCUGCCUCAGCCUCCCGAGUAGCUGGGAUUACAGGCGCCUGCCACCAUGUCCUGCUAAUUUUUGUAUUUUUAGUAGAGACAGGGUUUCACCAUGUUGACCAGGCUGACCUUGAACUCCUGACCUCAGGUUAUCCACCUGCCUCGGCCUCCCAAAAUGCUGGGUACAGGCAUGAGCCAUCGCACCUGGCCUUCAAGUGACAAAGUAUUAAAUAAAAUAUGGUCUAUCCUUCUACUUGGACAAAUGUACCCUUUUUUUUUUUUUUUUUUUUUGAGAUGGAGUCUCACGCCCAUUGCCCAGGCUGGAGUACAGUGGUGCAAUCACUGCUCACUGCGGCCUCAACCUCCUGGGCUUAAGUGAUUCUCCCACCUCAGCCUCCCAAGUAGCUGGGACUACAGGUGCAUGUCACACAUCACUAGGCCCAGCUAAUUUUUGUAUUUUUUGCAGAAACUGGGUUUCACCAUGUUGCCCAGGCUAGUCUGCAUCUCCUGGGCUCAAGUGAUCUGCCUGCCUUGGCCUCCCAAAGUGCUGGGAUUACAGGCAUGAGCCACUGCCCCCAGCCUUAAAUGUACCUUUUUAUUGGUCAAGGCUCUCCAGAGAAACAGAAUCCAUAGGAGAUAUCUCUAUUCAGAAGAGAGAGAUUUAUUCUAAGGAAUUGACUCAUGUGAUUUUGGGGGUAGUGAGUCUGGAAUCUACCAGGCAAGCUAGCACGCUGGAGACCCAAGGCUGAGUUGAUGUGGCAACUCAAGUUCAGAGGCAGUCUACUGACGGAAUUCCCUCUUCUUCACAGAACCUCAGUCUUUUUCUCUUAAAACCUUUAGCUGAUUGGAUUGUACCCACGCACGUUAUGCAGGGUAAUCUGCCUUGCUUAAUAUUUACUGAAUUAAAUGUUAAUCUCAUCUACAAAAUACCUGGUCUGCCCAUGAACACAUGGGCAGGGACUUUGGGGUUUGUGGUGCAUAGAGCAUGGCCUGGGAAGGUUCAUGAGCUCCAGAAGAACACAAAUCCACAGACUUCUCUCCUGACAGGAGGGCCUACGCAGAGCAGGGCCUUUUAUGAUGUAGGGAAUGGGGUCAGUGUUCUUCUUGUAAGCUCCAGGAAUGGAACACAUUCGUGCCAGCUUCUAUGGUUGGGCACGAGAACCUGAGAUUCCAAGAGCUUCCAUGACAUGCCUCAGGGACUGAGCUCAUUCGGCUCAGGGCAAGCACCACAACUGUCAUUUUUACAGGUUAAAAAUAAUUGAACAUUGGCAAAUGUACAUGGUUCAACAUAGUACAAAAGUAUUGUACUUAAUGCUAAAUGUAUUUUUAUUAUAAAUAUAGGCCAAUCUUUGAAUAAGCUCCCUGAGAAAUAAAACAAAAAUAAAAUCUUGACAAAAGUAGACUGAUGAUGAAAUUCAAUUACUAUGUAAUCUGUGUUGGAGCUUAGUAAAUGAAAAAUUGACUGGACCAAUAGAGAUACGGUCAGGAACAUAGAAACACAACUUCUGACUUGGUUUAAACUCCUACCUCUUAUUUUUCUGGUCUUGGUGGGCUUUAAGGCUAGUUGGGGCCACACAGAUGGAUUUUGUUUAAGUGGUUGGAAUGCUUGGGCUGGAAAGAAACAAGGAGUAAGAUGGUGGUUGUAAUAAUAUUGGGGUAAAAGAGACUAAUAUUUUACAAAUUAUUUUAGAAUGUAUAAUUUCAAUAAUUUUGAUAAAUCUACAAGGCCGAGAGGGUGGAUGUGAUUUCCACCCAGUUUUUCAACAAGGGAGAAAGUAACUAACAUUUAUUGUGUGAUAGGUAUCAUCCAAGGGGCAUUACAUGUAUGUCAUUUAAUCCUCAAAGCCAUACCAGUGUGGCUACUCUGUACCUCAUUUUACGGAUAAAAUGAUAAGACUUGCUCAAGGUCACAUAGCUGGUGAGUGAGGGGCUGCGCCUCAAUUCAGGCCUCCUGAGCCAGAACCAGGGUGCUUCCCAACAGUCUCUGUGCCAUCGUUCAAAGAUGAGCCACCUCAUCUGUCAUCUCUUUAUCUCACAUGCACAUGCACAUGGCCACAUCCCAAGUCAGGGUUUCACAGGCACAUCCAAGAGGAUCCUGAGCUUUUAAAGUUGAGGACAGACCCUUGCCCACCUUUACAUUCAUGUGCCUGGCUCGGUGCCAGGCACAAAGGUGUCCAGUGAAUGUCUGUUAGAUGAAUGCAUUUUUCAAUGUAUUAAAGAUUAAUUUUAUAAACAAAAUAAUUUUAUGGUUUUAUAAAUUGAUUAAAGGCUAAGUUCUCUAGGGUGUCAGUUAGCCACAAAAAUAACCUUUCUCUGAGUAAAAGAAUAUUGUAUGGGAAUUAUAAGAUGUCAGUGCUGGCCCUAGCUCCACCAUGUAUUAUCUGUGAAACCCAGAUUUGCUCAUUUUUAAGAGGUGGGGUUGGUCCGGAUGGCAUCUGUAGUAACCUCCAGGUCUCAAAUGCUAUACUUCUUAGAGGAGCACUGAGUGUGAGGACUUUCGUUGCCAGUUCAGGGCAUUUUACCUAAGAAAAUGAUUCACCAUGCCCUGGAGCAAUGAACUGGGCAGUGUAAAGCAGUAAUUUUGCUUAGGCCAAUUCGGAGGCUGCUUUUCAAUAAGGAAAAACACUUGAGGGGCAUCUGCAUACAAAAAAAGGGGUAAGAAGCUUGCCAGGAUGAAGAAACUUAAACCUCCACCAUCCUUUAUGAGCCAUUCCAACUAGAUACCCAUGCUAAACAAAAGAAAAUCUUACAGGGACUAGAAAACUAAUAUGAAAUCUUCUGAAGUUCCUUGAAGAAUAUUUUGUGAUCUGAACCUGAAAACUUAGAAUACUGCUAAAAUAUAUGGCUGAAUAAGGCACAUUUCUGAUAAAGUGCAAACUGUUGUAAGAGAGUAUUUUUCAAUUUUAACUUAUCCCUUUGGCAGUACCCAGUUUUCAACCCUAAGAGAAAGGUGUCCCAGAGAGAUGGGUUCAGGAAAGGAUUGAGAACUAAUCAAAUAAGCUAUAGUAAUCAAAUACCUUAUGCUAAACACAGAUUGAGGGGAAAAAAUUCAAAUUUUAGGACAAUGUAUUAAAAUAAAUUAAAGAGGCCGUACUAUGUAUGUAUAUAUAGAUAUACACAUAUACAUCCACGUAUGAUGAUACAUGUGUCACUUAAGUGUGGAAACAGGAAUAAGAAAUGGGGACCCCUGAGAAGGCUCUAUUGGAAAUAGCUGGAGGCUUCAGACUAAGUUUCUGAGCAGUAGGUUUUAAGUCCGAGGCAGUAAUUGGCAAAGCUCUUCUGUCAAGAAGCAGAGAAUUCCAAGACACUACAUGUUUUCAGAAAAUUGGAUUGUUUCCAGCUUUUUCAUUAAUUUACACAUUUUGCAUGCCUGGCAUUGUACUAAUCGAACGGUGGCCUAGCCAACAUAAACAAUGUUGAAUGGCUAAUAACUAGCUAUAGGGUUGGUGAUAAAAUGGAAGUAAGUGAAAGCUACAAAUAUCAGCCAGGCUGUGUGGUUCACGUCUGUAAUCCCAGUAUUUGUACUCAGGAGGCCGAGGUGGGAGGAUCCCUUAAGCCCAGAAGUUCAAGACCAGCCUGGGCACUAUGGCAAAACCCAUGUCUACUAAAAAUAGAAAAAUUAGCCAGGUGUGGUGGCACAGGCCUGUAGUGCAAGCUACUUGGGCGGCUGAGGUGGGAGGAUCACUUGAGUCCAGGAAGUGGAGGUUGCAGUGAGCUGAUGUCACACCACUGCACUCUAGCCUGGGUGUCAGAGCAAGACCCUGAAGAAAAAAAAAAAGAAAGAAAGAAAAGAAAAAGAAAGAAAGAAAGAAAGGAAAGGAAAAAAAGGAAGCUACAAAUAUCAGAGACCCUUUCUGUACAUAAUUAUUCUGCAUUUGCCACACAAAGCUCUUAGAUGUCACCUCUUUUUAAUAUAAGCUUCAUCUGUUUGAAGCUAUGAUUUAUUUGGGGGGAUACUGUGGUUCCUCUCACAGACUGAAAUAAUCUCUGUAUGAUAAUACUACAACUUAUUUUUUUCUUUCCAAUAAAAAUAGUUGUUUUGUUGCCAUUUUUCACUUUAAUGUCAUAGCUAGAGAAUCAGAGAGCUAAGAAAGUGCAGGAGAAGGAACACAGCAGCUGCCACCACAGCUAGGUGGAUACUGGGUGCUUCACAUGCUCAUUUUUUGUUUCUUCUCACUAUAAAGAAACUGAGGUGCAGAGAUGUAAAAUAUCCUCAUCUGAUAUCAUUAAACUAGCAAAUCUGUUGUUCUGGGAUGGAAUAUAGCCUUUUUUUUUUUUUUUGAGACGGAGUCUCGCCCUGUCACCCAGGCUGGAGUACAAUGGUGAGAUCUCGGCUCACUGCAACCUCCCCCUCCUGCAUUCAAGCAAUUCUCCUGUCUCAGCCUCCCGAGUAGCUGGGAUUACAGGUGUGUGCCACCAUGCCUCGCUCAUUUUUGUAUUUUAGUAGAGACAGGGUUUCAGCACAUUGGUCAGGCUGGUCUCGAACUCCUGACCUCGUGAUCCACCUGCCUCGGCCUCCCAAAGUGCUGGGAUUAGAGGCGUGAGCCACCACGCCAGCAUUUUUUUUUUUUUUUUAAGUGACAGGAUCCCAGCCUUGGCAACAUGGUGAAACCCUGUCUCUACUAAAAAUACAAAAAAUUAGCUAGGCAUAUUGGCGUGCACCUGCAGUCCAGCUACCCAGGAGGCUGAGGUGGGAGAACUACUUGAGCCUGGGAGGGCGAGGCUGCAGUGAGCUGUGAUCAUGCCACUGCACUCCAGCCUGGGUGACAGAGUGAGACCCUGUCUCAAAAAAAAAAAAAAAAAAAAAAAAGAAAGAGACACAGGAUCUUGCCCUGUUGUACAGGCUGGAGUGCAGUGGCAUGAUGACUGGUUUGCUGCAACCUUCAACUCCUUGGCUCAAGCAGUCCUCCUGCUCAGGUGCCUAAGUAGCUAGGACUACAUGCAUGUGCCACCAUGCAUGGCUAAUUUUUGUAGAGGCAGGGUCUUGCUAUGUUGCUCAGGCUGGUCUCAAGCUCCUGGGCUCAAGCUGUCCUGCCACCUUGGCCUUCUAAAGUGCUGGGUUUACAGGCGUGAGCCACCAAUGCCUUUUUGACCCCAGAGCUCAUGAUCCUCCAGUUACCACAUGCUUGCUUUUUCUCAUUACGUGCCAACCACAAUACUUGCUCUAUGUUGUUGUAUUUUCUUCUCACACAAUGAUUUGUAAUUGGUAUUGUUAAUUCCUAGGUUGCAGAUGAGGAAGUAAAGCUCAGAGAAGUAACUUGCCAAAUAUCACACAGCCAGUAAUUGUCAGGAAAAAAUAAUUCUCAAAUUCAUGUAUUGCCUUUGUGUAAUAUAUUAAUAUCAACAGUCAAAUGUUUAAUCACAGUGAACUGAUUACGCAUUCAUCCUUUGUCCUAUGGAUUAGAGUGGUGAAUGUAACUUUCUGGUAUGAAAUAAAAUGCUUAAGAAAUUUGAGAACACUUGUGAAAGUGAAGUGAAACCUAAUUGUUAAGACUAUUAAGUCUCUAUCAUCAUCACUAGCUAAAGAAACCACAAAUUUAAUUCUUUAAGCAAAACCAAAAUAAUAAUUCAUUAAUUUGUUAAUUAUUUCUUCUUUCUAUACAUAUUAGCUGACUUUUGUCCUAUUCUUGCAAAUCCUCUACCAUUUUGGCUGGUAGCCCAGUAAGCUGUUGCCUAUUUAUCUGAUGAUUCUCUCACCAUUCUAUUGGGAAGAAACAGAAAAUCAUAUCAAAAUCGAUAUGAGAACUCUGAGUAAAAUAGCAUGUUACCAAAACAAAAGUAUAUACCUUUUAGCUUUUUAGAGAAGUACCUAUUUUCCCAUUAAAAACAAAAAGUAAUAGCCAAAACCAAUGUCAAGAGUGGGUGUGAGGCCAGAUGCGGUGGCUCACUCCUGUAAUCCCAGCACUUUGGGAAGCCAAGGCGGGUAGAUCACCUGAGGUUAGGAGUUUGAGACCAGCCUGGCCAACAUGGUGAAACCCCAUCUCUACUAAAAAUACAAAAAUUAGCCAGGCGUGGUGGUGCGCACCUGUAGUUGCAGCUACUCAGAAGGCUGAGGCAGGAGAAUUGCUUGAACCCAGGAGGCAGAGGUUGCAAUAAGCCAAGAUCAUGCCACUGCACUCCAUUCUGGGUGACAGAGUGAGACUCUAUCUCAAAAAUAAUAGUAAUAAAGAGUGGGACUGAGAGGUGAGGAGAGUACAAAUGAACAAAAAAUCAAUAAAAAGAGGAUUUGUACUCUAAAAUAAAAAUCUAGUUUGUGGGGAUUUUAUCAGAAAUAGUAUCCUUCAACAGUGCGUUUAAAAUUCUUUCUUUUUGUGCAAAAUUGCAACUAUAAUUAUAACGUUUUAGUCUUUGGCUAAAAUGUGGUUGCCUUUGCAUCUCAUACAGGGCCAAAAGAAAAAAUUAGAAGCAUUGGAAAAACUGCACAGUGACUACAGGAUGUCCUGUUGCAUUUAUCUGAGUAGACAGACCCGUGACUCACUAUAAAACUUGACACGUCGGAAAUGGUUUUAUUGUGCAUGGUACUUUUCUCUUCACAAAUAUUAAACACAUAGAUUUGAGGAUAACAAGUUAUAUUUGUCCAAAUAUAAAGGUGUCUGCUAUAAUUCUUUUUGAAGUGAGAAGUUAAUUCUAUGCAAUGAUAACUCAGAAAGUAUACACAGCAUCCAGUCAAGCCUUAUCUCAGAACUCUCAGAAACUCUCGUAAUUACCCCUUCUUAAGUAGAUGAUAAUAAAUGAUAUGAGGAAGAUGUCUCUUGAUUAAAUUGAUAUAUUUUACCAUUGUUUGGCAAAGUCGGGGUAGCACUCGCUCUAUUGAAAAACCUCUUUAGCCUUGAGCCAUACAAAAGUGAUACAUUGCAAAAACUCAUCAGUAAUCUAAUAAUAAUAAUAAGAGCAGCUUCACAUGAAAAGGAAUGGCAACACUUUCACAUUGUGAUAAAGCAAAACAAAUUCCAUGCAUUCAGUUUUCUGAAUCCUUUAAAAAAAAUAAAAUAAAAUGAAGAACACAUACAUCUGUUAUCUUCCUCUUUUUUUUUUUUUCUUUUUUUUCAGAGACAGGACUUUGCUCUGUUGCCCAGACUGAAGUGCAGUGGUGCAAUCAUAGCUCACUGCAGCCUCCAACUCCUGGGCUCAAGCGAUCGUCUGGCUUAGCCUCCUGAGUAGCUGGGACUACAGGUGUGCACUACCACACCCAGCUGUUUUUGUUUACUUUUAAUUUAAUUUAAUUUAAUUUAAUUUGCUGCUGUUUUGUUUUUUUGUAGAGACAGUGUCUCCCUAUGUUGCCCAGACUGGUCUCAAACUCCUGGCUUCAAGUGAUCCUCCUGUGAAAUGCUGGGAUUACAGCCUAGAUCCUCUGGAUUUAGAACACACAGACUUUUGCCAAAUUGCGUGCUGAUUUUUCUGGUAAACCAAAUGUUAUAAGCUGAGUAAUGUCUGACUAAAAUUCCUAUGUUGAAGUCUAACCCCCGGUACCUUGGAAUGUGACCGUAUUUGGAGAAAUGGCCCAGUCUGCGAUACUUUGCUGUGGCAGCCCUAGAAACCAAUAUGCCAACCAACCCAUAAACAGACAAAAAACCAGGAAAGAACUAAAUGCACAGGAUUCCAAAUCCAGUGGCAGCAUCUCCCCUAUCAUGUCCUUCUUCCAGGAUAAAAAUACACAGAUGGAGACACAACUGUAAAUGUAGUGCAUGUACAGACACACCCUCCCUCUGCUCACAAGGAGGCCCUAGGAGAUGUUGCACCUCAAUCAAAAUGAACACCCAGUGCCCAGGUCUUGACUUCUAAGAAGAUACAGGACUCCCUGGGGAAGAGGCCAAUGCUAGGGCUGGGGCCAGGAAGGUACAAGAUGAGCUUGGAACACCCAGUUGAGGCUGAAAGUGAGGACUCAAAACAUGAUGGGAACAGUCCCAAAAGCAUACCAGGGCUACCCUAAAAAAGCUCCCACUUGCCAAAGCUGGGUCAAUUUAACCAGCUUUGGUUAAAUUAUAAAAUAAUGUAAGUAGCAAAUUAUAAUGGAGUGUAACCUGUAGAAGAAAAUACAAAUCAUAAGUCUAUGCUGACAUUUACUUCUAUUUAUUUAUUUAUUUAGAGACAGAGUUUUGCUCUGUCGCCCAGGCUGGAGUACAGUGGCGUGAUCUUGGCUCACUGCAACCUCCACCUCCCAGGUUCAAGAGAUUCUCAUGCCUCAGUCUCUGGAGUAGAUGGGAUUGCAGGCACGCAGCACCAUGCCUGGCUAAUUUUUUUUUAUUUUCAGUAGAGACAGGGGUCUCGCUAUGUUGCCCAGGCUGGUCUCCAACUCCUGGUCUCCAAUGAUCUGCCUGUCUUGGCCUCCCAAAGUGCUGGGAUUACAUGCAUGAGCCACCGCGCCUGGCCUGUGCUGACAUUUAAAUGGGAAGCUUGAUGAGGAACAGAAUACUUACCUACUUUCAAAGCUUCUCUUCAGAAAAUACUUAGUUAUAAAGGGGAAAAGAGUUAACCAUUCAGUGGAAAAACCUGGCCGACAUCAAUUUCAAGGGGUCAAAAUAAUCAUCAGACAAACUGGUAUUGCUACCAUCUUCUAGGACACACAGAAAGACAUGGCAUCACCAAGGAAGCAGAGCCUGAGUCAAUCAUAAGAAGAAGCAUCAGACAGGCCUGAGUGAGGGACUUUCUUCGAAAUAACUGACCUGUAAUCUUCCAAAGGUCCCAGGAACUGUCCUAGUCUAAAUGAUACUGAAGAGAUCUUCGCUCAAUGCAAUGCCUGACUCUGAUCUGGAAGUCUUGCUCUAAAGGACAUGGUUGGGACAACUGGCAAAACCUAAAGGGUAUCUGAAGAUUAGAUGGAAGUAAUACAUCAGUGUUAAUUACCCAAUUUUUAUCCUUGUUCUGUGGUUUUGUAGGAAUUGUGUAGAAAGUAUUAAAGGGUGAUAGCGUUUUAAAAUAGGAUUUAUUUAUUUAUUUAUUUAGAGACAGAGUCUCCGUCUGUCA